rnacentral:rRNA from 1 species
AGGGUUCGAUUAUGGCUCAGAACGAACGCUGGCGGCAGGCCUAACACAUGCAAGUCGAGCGCACCUUCGGGUGAGCGGCGGACGGGUUAGUAACGCGUGGGAACGUACCCUUUUCUACGGAAUAGCCUUUGGAAACGAAGAGUAAUACCGUAUACGCCCUUUGGGGGAAAGAUUUAUCGGAGAAGGAUCGGCCCGCGUUAGAUUAGAUAGUUGGUGGGGUAACGGCCUACCAAGUCUACGAUCUAUAGCUGGUUUUAGAGGAUGAUCAGCAACACUGGGACUGAGACACGGCCCAGACUCCUACGGGAGGCAGCAGUGGGGAAUCUUAGACAAUGGGCGCAAGCCUGAUCUAGCCAUGCCGCGUGAGUGAUGAAGGCCUUAGGGUCGUAAAGCUCUUUCGCCUGUGAUGAUAAUGACAGUAGCAGGUAAAGAAACCCCGGCUAACUCCGUGCCAGCAGCCGCGGUAAUAC